rnacentral:rRNA from 1 species
CCUUAGAGUCUGGGCCGCACGCGCGCUACACUGACAGAGCCAGCGAGUCUACCACCUUUGCCGGAAGGCAUGGGUAAUCUUGUGAAACUCUGUCGUGAUGGGGAUAGAGCAUUGCAAUUAUUGCUCUUCAACGAGGAAUACCUAGUAAGCGUGAUUCAUCAGAUCGCGUUGAUUACGUCCCUGCCCUUUGUACACACCGCCCGUCGCUACUACCGAUUGAAUGGCUUAGUGAGGCCUCCGGAUUGGCUAUUGGAAGCUCGCGAGAGCAUCCGACUGCUGAGAAGUUGUACGAACUUGGUCAUUUAGAGGAAGUAAAAGUCGUAACAAGGUUUCCGUAGGUGAACCUGCGGAAGGAUCAUUAGUGAAUAUUAGGACGUUCAAUUUAACUUGAAGUCCGAACUCUCACUUUCUAACCCUGUGCAUUUGUUUUGGCUAGUAGGAUAUUUCGGUAUCCGAACACCUCUUCAUUUACAAACACUAAGUCUAUGAAUGUUUAAAUUUUAUAACAAAAUAAAACUUUCAACAACGGAUCUCUUGGCUCUCGCAUCGAUGAAGAACGCAGCGAAAUGUGAUAAGUAAUGUGAAUUGCAGAAUUCAGUGAAUCAUCGAAUCUUUGAACGCAUCUUGCACUCUUUGGUAUUCCGAAAAGUAUGUCUGUUUGAGUGUCAUGAAUUCUUCAACCCUCCCUUUUCUUA